rnacentral:lncRNA from 1 species
AACAGUAAGAGAAAUGGAAAUGUGGAAGUAGUGACUUGAUGAAAUCAGGAAGCGGAGGGUGAUCGCAGGUGGUAGAAUAGUUGAUUGACAUUGGAAGCGAAAAGAAAUGGAUGAAGCCGCGGUGGAAGGGACCGAUAGGUACGGAGAGGAGCCGUUGGGACGGAGUGAGGAGCUAAAAUCAGAAGUAAAGGAAAUGAGAAAUGGGAGAGUGAAGGCCAAGUUUCGAUUACAACAAGAGGA